UGGUGGGUAGUUUGACUGGGGCGGUCUCCUCCUAAAGAGUAACGGAGGAGCACGAAGGUUGGCUAAUCCUGGUCGGACAUCAGGAGGUUAGUGCAAUGGCAUAAGCCAGCUUGACUGCGAGCGUGACGGCGCGAGCAGGUGCGAAAGCAGGUCAUAGUGAUCCGGUGGUUCUGAAUGGAAGGGCCAUCGCUCAACGGAUAAAAGGUACUCCGGGGAUAACAGGCUGAUACCGCCCAAGAGUUCAUAUCGACGGCGGUGUUUGGCACCUCGAUGUCGGCUCAUCACAUCCUGGGGCUGAAGUAGGUCCCAAGGGUAUGGCUGUUCGCCAUUUAAAGUGGUACGCGAGCUGGGUUUAGAACGUCGUGAGACAGUUCGGUCCCUAUCUGCCGUGGGCGCUGGAGAACUGAGGGGGGCUGCUCCUAGUACGAGAGGACCGGAGUGGACGCAUCACUGGUGUUCGGGUUGUCAUGCCAAUGGCACUGCCCGGUAGCUACAUGCGGAAGAGAUAAGUGCUGAAAGCAUCUAAGCACGAAACUUGCCCCGAGAUGAGUUCUCCCUGAGACUUUAGGUCUCCUGAAGGAACGUUGAAGACGACGACGUUGAUAGGCCGGGUGUGUAAGCGCAGCGAUGCGUUGAGCUAACCGGUACUAAUGAACCGUGAGGCUUAACCUUACAACGCCGAAG
rnacentral:rRNA from 1 species